AACGAACGCUGGCGGCGCGCUUAACACAUGCAAGUCGAGCGCCCCACCUUCGGGUGGGGAGCGGCGCACGGGUGAGUAACGCGUGGGAACCUGCCCCAAGGUUCGGGACAACGGCGGGAAACCGCCGCUAACACCGGCUAUGGCGGUCUCGCGAGAGACGGCGAAAGGCGCGCAAGCACCGCCUUGGGAUGGGCCCGCGUCCGAUUAGGUUGACGGUGGGGUAACGGCCCACCGUGCCUCUGAUCGGUAGCCGGUCUGAGAGGAUGAUCGGCCACACUGGGACUGAGACACGGCCCAGACUCCUACGGGAGGCAGCAGUGGGAAUCUUGGACAAUGGGGGCAACCCUGAUCCAGCGACGCCGCGUGGGUGAUGAAGGCCUUCGGGUUGUAAAGCCCUUUUGCCGGGACGAUGAUGACGGUACCGGCGAAUAAGCACCGGCUAACUCCGUGCCAGCAGCCGCGGUAAU
rnacentral:rRNA from 1 species